rnacentral:lncRNA from 1 species
UUCUCAUAGGUCAAUUACCCAAAAUGUCUGCUUUAGUGGAUUGCUUGAGAACUUCACUGUCAACUAACAAUUAUCCACAGGUCCGCCAUCCCUACAAAAAGGUUUGAAACUUGUGGCUAAGUUGUACAGGCUUAGGCUAGAAGACCGAAACCUAACUUUCAGCAAAUAUAUCAGAAGAUUUUCAGUGUAUUCCCAAAUUUGAACUACAUGGACUUGAGUUUUAAUAAUUUCUAUGGUGAGAUAUCUCAAGAUGGACUUUGUCAUAUUUGACCAGCCUGAAGAUCGCCACAAUAGCAUUUCUGGAGGCUACCUUGCGAGCUUGUAAGGCAACUCAGCUACAUGUUCUUGAUUUUGACCUUUCAUCAACCAUCUAGUUGGGGAGAUUCCCAAAGGAUUUGGAGAGUUAGGAUCAUGUCUGUCCUUUCUCUGAGCAACAACAACUUUCAGGCAAUAUUCUCAGCAGAAAUUGGCAAUCUAUCAAAUCUCCCUCCACGUCUUGAGUUAGAGGGAAACAAAUUGGUGGCUCAAAUUCAAGGCAAACUAGGGGAGUGUGUGAGACUAUUGAAGUUUAAUUUGAGCAUAAAUCUGUUGAGGGACGUAUUCCUUCGCAAUUGGCAAAUUACAAUCUCUUGAAGAGCUUGAUCUCGGAAGCACUUCUUUAACAGGUGAAUACACCAGAAUUAUUGGGAAUUUACACAUCCUAGAGACUUUAAAAUUCUUCCACAAUAAGUUGUCUGGUCCCCCAUUCCAUUUCCAUCCUCUUUUUCAAUGGAAUGUUUAAGUUUGAUCUCGGUUGACAUAUCUUACAAUCACUUAGAGGGUCCUCUGCCCAUGUCAAAGCCUUUCAAAAUGCUUCCUUUGAGACUACAGAGAUAAUAAAUGGAUUAAUGUGGAAUAGAUUGGUCAGUGAUGCCAUGCUUUGUUGACAAAUAGCAAUGAGGGUAAAGGGAGAAGAAAUAAAAAAGUUGUGCUUUUGGUUAUAAUUCUUGUGUUGGGAACUUCAUUGCUUGUAGUGUUGGUAUUUUCUUGGUUUUUUCAUAGAAGAAGGGGGAAUAUCGAUUUGAGCCCUAGAAGUGCAAACUCAAGAAAACUUUUUUGGAGAUAUGGAGCUACAUUGGAAAAAUGAUCUAUGAAGACAUCAUUGAAGCCCCGAUUAACUUCAGUGAAAGCAUUGUGUCGGAGUGGGGGGUAUGGCCCUGUUUAUAGAGCUGCAGUUGCCAAAUGGUCCUAUGUUUGUGCUGUGAAAGAACUUCAUGACUUCACAGAUACAGUUCGCCUCAGCUAAUAAGUUUUGUUGAGUGAGAUUCGUGCAUUGACCGGACGCGACAUCGCCAUAUCAUAAGGCUUUUAUGGUUUUGUUGCCAUCCACAACAUUUGUUUUUGCUUGAUGAUGUUCUUGGAAGGGGAGCUUGGACAAGGUAACUAAGUCCGUGAGGAACAGCAUUGGAUUUUGGUGGACAAAGAGGGGUGAAGUGCUGUUAAAGGUUUGGCAAUCCUUUGUCAUACAUGUCACCAUGAUUGUUCCGCCUCCGAUAAUUUCUCGUAUAAUAUCACAAUCAAGAACGUUCUGCUAGAGUCAGAAUUUGUCGCUCACUCUCUGACUUUGGCACAGGGCUAGACUUCUAAGCCCUCACUCUUCAAACUGGAACUUCAGUUGUUUUUUUUUGCUGAACCUGGAUAUGUCUGCUCCAGGUACAUGCAGAGUUCAUCUAACUUACUAAUAUUAGUGUUCUGGUAAUGUCUUUUCUUUAAAUCAGCAUGCUAACCUUCACUACCUUGUUUACUUUAACUGACUUUUUGCUUCUUUGUCCCUCUCGUUUUCUUUCAGAACUUGCUUACACAAUGGAUGUGAUGAGAAGUUUUGGAUGUUUAUAGCUUUGGAGUUUGACUCUGGAAGUGCUAAUGUGGGAGGCAUCCAGGGGAUCUUAUCUCUUCCUUCUCAUCCUUAUCGGUCACAGCUCUCCUCCACCAUUGAAGGAUUUAAUUGGAUAAACGUCUCCCGCCUCCAAGGUAUCAGGUGGCAGAAUCAGUGGUCCCUAGCAUCAAAGCUUGCAUUUUCAUGCUUUCAUGCACAACAAAAUCCAGAGUGCCGACCCACGAUGGCAAAAUUUCCCGUGGCACUUUCAAAACGCGAGGCCACCUCUUGCAGAAUUCAUCCAGACUGUAUCACAUUGGGACAGCUCAUUGAUGCAACUGUUCGCAUUCUACUCAGCAUGUCCUUGUUUCUUCUUAAUCUUGAUGUCACUCUCUUUCAAUGUUAUUUUAUCAGUUUCUUUGCCGUUUGUCGGUGUUCAAAUUCAAAGUAACUACAAUGCAACAACCCGUAAAAAAUCAGAAGAAUUUGCUAGCUACUAGCACUGCAGAGCAUGUCUACGAGGUUCUAUUUUUCAUAAAAUUUCUGUAGUCUUGGGAAGGUCAAGAUCAAUACUACUAAGUGGUAAAAUUUAUUGGUAAGUUUUUAGUGAUUGUAUUUGAGUCGAAUGUCGCAGGCCCCAUUUCA